AUAAAAACAGAAAAAUGGCGACGGUCACGUUGUGGCGAGCACGUUGUAUCCUUGCUGCGUCAUUAGAUAAUCCUCAUGCAAAUAGCGGGAAGAACAAAGGAAGGGGGGCCCUGGACCCCCGGGGGCGCAGGGUGCUGGCGUGGGUCCCUCGCCGUCCGGCGGCGACUGUAAAUAGAGCCUGGAUGUUGUUUACAUGAAGGAUCCGGCGGGAGGAGUCUGCGAGGAGGAGGCGGAGGAGGAGGAGGAGGGAGGAGAGAGGAAGACCAGAGUCUCCGCGGCGGCGGUCCGGGUGGGCUAACAGUACCUAACCUGGUUCCAGAAUCCUUCUGUGAUGAAUUAGUGAGUAAUUAAUCCCGUAGGGGUCUUGUGAAAACCAAAGCGGAAAGCACAUAGAAAAUUAUUGAAUGUUAGGCACAUGUGGAAAUUACUGCCAGAUUUGCUGCUGAGCUCUUUGAGGAGAGGGACCAUGUCUUGUUUCUCUUCAUUUCCUGGACAUCUCGAAGAGGUCUGGGCACGUGGUAGUCCCUCAGUUAAUAUUUAUCGGGUGCAUGAUUGAGGUCAGGGAGGUGGAAUCAGUGAGUCCCCGCAUGGCAUGCCAUGGAGCGCCUCUGCCGCGUAAGCAAGCGGUGGCUCAUCAUUCCUGUCUGGAAGUCACGUGUGGGUGUUUCCGUCUUACCUGUAUUUCACCUGGGCCUUUUCCUGUUUCAGCCUCACCGGUUACUGGGCUGGGACCCUCCUUUCUCUUCUGCUUGGCCACAUCUCGAAGCCGCAGGGGACCUCUUGGUCCUUCACUCCCUGGGGAGCCUUCGGAGGGAGUCACACGGCCCCUCCCCGCCGGAAAGGAAGCUGCCGGCCGACCCAGUGACUGACAGGCUGCCCUGGCUCAGUUAUCACAGUGCUGAUGCUGUCCAUUCUAAAGGUACAGUACUGUGAUAACUGAAGGAUGGCAGCCAUCUUGCCUUCCAGCCGAGGAGCCCCCAUCCUGCCCGGGAAGGAAGACGGAGGACCGGCUCGGCCUGCGUAACGGUGCCAGGGACCCGGGAAGCCUCUGGCCCUGUGCCGCACCGCCCCUCGCGCCCGCGCGCGCGCGCAGGACAUUGCUCCUGCUUCCGUCUUCGCCUCGUUCGGGGAUGCGCGGUGCAACGAGGGGCUGGGUAGUGGUUUUCCCUCGUGUGCGGAGCAGAUGUGCUGUUGAGAGCUUUGGAACUUUGAAGAGACUGGUAUCAGAUAAGCGCUAAGUGUGGAUUCGUAUUUCUGGAAUGUUUGUCAUUCUGAGAAAUUUGUGCCGCUUUGAGAAACCUAAAAAGUCACCUGAUUACAACAGCCUGAUGCUUACCUAUCAAUAGAGGUUCCACAUAAAAUUCAACUUGCACGGAGAAAAAAAGCCCCGCACGUUGAACGGUAUUCAUGUGUUCGUGUUAUUGCGCAAAUAAAAUUAUGUCUUGGUGCUGAA